GGGCGGACUCCGCUCUGUGUGCCCAGACGAGGACGAGUGCCAGUUCCGCUGGUGCCAGCACAGCUGCGCCAACUCCCCGGGCGCCUUCGCCUGCCGCUGCCACCCCGGCUUCAGCCUGGGCCCCGACGGCCGCUCCUGCCUCGACGUGGACGAGUGCUCCAUGGGCGCGCGCUGCUCCCAGCUCUGCCUCAACACCUUUGGCUCCUUCCGCUGCCGCUGCCGGCCCGGCUUCGCGCUGGGCGCGGACGGCCGCCAGUGCCACGACGUGGACGAGUGCCGGGCGGGGGUCCCGUGCCAGCACCGCUGCCAGAACCUCCCGGGGGGCUUCAGCUGCCUCUGCCCCCCCGGCUACGCCGAGGAGGGGGGGCUCUGCCGGG